rnacentral:rRNA from 1 species
GACAGAGGGUGCAAGCGUUGUUCGGAAUUAUUGGGCGUAAAGGGCGCGUAGGCGGCGCUGUAAGUCAGGUGUGAAAUCCCAGGGCUUAACCCUGGAAGUGCGCCUGAUACUGCAGUGCUCGAGUCUCGGAGAGGAUGCUGGAAUUCCCAGUGUAGAGGUGAAAUGCGUAGAUAUCAGGAGGAACACCGGUGGUGUAGACGGCUCUCUGGACCGUAACUGACGCUGAGGCACGAAAGCGUGGGUAGCAAACAGG